UGUUUUCAGUUUUCCUGUCUUUUGUGAUAACGUAAAUAAAGUUUAUAUGCGUUCACUGUGUAAGUAAAUAAAACAUGUCUAAAAUAGAAAGUAAACGUGAAAGGGGUGUAAAUUUUUCUAGAGAUGAAAUGGAUCUCUUAAUAAACAUUAUACAAGAACAUAAACAUGUUCUUGAGAACAAAAAAAGUGAUGCAGUUACUUGGCAGGAGAAAGUCCUGCUGGAAAACCAUUGAAGCUAAGUUCAAUAGCACUAGUGGAGUUACCUAUCGUUCUGCAAAAAACCUAAAAACAAAAUAUGAAGGCCUCAAGUGAGACUCGAAAAAAAUCAGCUUGUAUUCGUGCUGAAACAUACAACACUCACAGACACUGAGCUUAAACUUAAAGACAUGAUUUUUUUGUCUGUUGAUGGUAUGAAGAGUGACUUUGAUUCCAUGUUUUUCUACACAGCCGGACAUACUAUAUUAUUAUGACACAGAGGAAACAAAUGCUAAUAACACAGAAAACAUUUAAAGUAUGGACCACACUGACCUACACCAACAAUUUGGAGAUCCCAUAGUCUUGCCAGAAUCCCCAACAGCAGUUUGUCCGAGACAAACUCUAU